rnacentral:rRNA from 1 species
GAUGAACGCUGGCGGCGUGCCUAAUACAUGCCAGUCGAGCGAACAGACGAGGAGCUUGCUCCUCUGACGUUAGCGGCGGACGGGUGAGUAACACGUGGAUAACCUACCUAUAAGACUGGGAUAACUUCGGGAAACCGGAGCUAAUACCGGAUAACAUGUUGAACCGCAUGGUUCAACAGUGAAAGACGGUCUUGCUGUCACUUAUAGAUGGAUCCGCGCCGCAUUAGCUAGUUGGUAAGGUAACGGCUUACCAAGGCAACGAUGCGUAGCCGACCUGAGAGGGUGAUCGGCCACACUGGAACUGAGACACGGUCCAGACUCCUACGGGAGGCAGCAGUAGGGAAUCUUCCGCAAUGGGCGAAAGCCUGACGGAGCAACGCCGCGUGAGUGAAGAAGGUCUUCGGAUCGUAAAACUCUGUUAUUAGGGAGGAACAAAUGUGUAAGUAACUAUGCACGUCUUGACGGUACCUAAUCAGAAAGCCACGGCUAACUACGUG